CCCCAGACUCCUACGGGAGGCAGCAGUGGGGGAUAUUGCACAAUGGGGGAAACCCUGAUGCAGCGACGCCGCGUGGGUGAAGAAGCGCCUCGGCGCGUAAAGCCCUGUCAGCAGGGAAGAAAAUGACGGUACCUGAAGAAGAAGCCCCGGCUAACUACGUGCCAGCAGCCGCGGUAAUACGUAGGGGGCAAGCGUUAUCCGGAUUUACUGGGUGUAAAGGGAGCGUAGACGGCGAUACAAGUCUGAAGUGAAAGCCCGGGGCUCAACCCCGGGACUGCUUUGGAAACUGUGUUGCUGGAGUGCUGGAGAGGCAAGCGGAAUUCCUAGUGUAGCGGUGAAAUGCGUAGAUAUUAGGAGGAACACCAGUGGCGAAGGCGGUCUGCUGGACAGCAACUGACGGUGAGGCGCGAAAGCGUGGGGAGCAAACAGGAUUAGAUACCCCUGUA
rnacentral:rRNA from 1 species